rnacentral:rRNA from 1 species
AUACGGAGGGUGCAAGCGUUAUUCGGAAUCACUGGGCGUAAAGGACGCGUAGGCGGGUCGGCAAGUCAGAUGUGAAAUCCUACAGCUUAACUGUAGAACUGCAUUUGAAACUGCUAACCUAGAGUAUGGGAGGGGGAGAUGGAAUUAGUGGUGUAGGGGUAAAAUCCGUAGAUAUCACUAGGAAUACCGAAAGCGAAGGCGAUCUCCUGGAACGUAACUGACGCUAAGGCGUGAAAGCGUGGGGAGCGAACAGGAUUAGAAACCCUAGUAGUCC